rnacentral:lncRNA from 1 species
CUAUUUUCUUCAUUUUGUUCAUUUUGUUAUUUCUCUUUUUUCCCUUUAUCACAUUUUAGGAACAUACACUUGCAUUUUCACUGGAAGUGCAGGAACAGUAUCACAUGCAGCCUCUGCAGAUCUAAUGGUCGCUCUCUUACCAGAGGAAAUUAAUGUGACAAGUAUCCCACCGAAUCCAGAUUGUUCUGUGGCACAACAAAUUCAGGUUAAUGUGACGUGUUCCAUUUACAAGAGUAAGGAGGAAUAUACGGUUGCAAUAAAUGACACCAGGUUAUCACCAGCAGACCCCAACUCUGCAAUUAUUAGCUAUUACAGAACUUUCACCAUCAACUGCCUGGGAACUCGCCUACAGUCUCUGAUCGCUUACUGUAAUGUCACAAACAGUCUGGGCCAGAACACCACUGCUCCUCUAGAUGUGCCAAUAAUAUAUCCUGGAGAUCCAGUUUGUGAAAAAGACGACCCAUGGCCAAAAACAAAGAAUGGAUCGAAAGCAACAAUACUCUGCACUGAACCCGGACGAGUGGGAAAAAAGGAACGACUAUGCAGUUCUAAAGUUUGGCAAGAUCCAAUCGACCUGUGUAUUAAAGAAGCGCUAAAUACAGUGGCUGCAGCAGCUGGGGUAAGUAUAAUAUACACCAUCAUGUAGAAAUGCCCAAAAUGUGGAAAUUUUUUGAAAACCAAACAG